UUUUCCUCCUCUUUUAAUCCACCAAAUAAAAGAAAAAUAAGAGAAGAAAGGAAGAAUAGGGAGUAGAAGGACAGAAGAGAAGGGAAGAAGAGAAGGGAAGAAGAGAGUGAGGAAGCAUUGGGACGAUCGGCGUGACGGAGGGAAAAAGAAGGUUGAGAGGGGACACCGCAGGUGGCCUAACUACCGUGUGAUCACUCCUCUUAGCGUAGGUUCUUCUUCCGAAUGAUCCAAACAUCAGACCGAAGAAGAUAAUUUAUACAGCCAAAUCAGAAAUUUCAUAUUUUAAUUGUCAUCUGGCCGUCACAAAAUGUAGACAAAGUUGAAGAAAAAUACCAGAUUUACGUAGGUAGUGUUCGGUGGCCGCAGAAGACGCUAAAGCGGGUGGACAAAGAGAGAAGCUCUUCACAGCAGUGGCUGAAUGCUGAGUGCAAGUGUUUACCUGCAAAACAAGAAGAAAAAAGUGCGAGAAAAUAGAGAAAAAAUAGAGGCUUUCGAUAUUGUGUCUGUGGCAGCAGGGAGGAGAGUAGGUAGGUAGGUAGGUCUGCUCGUCCUGUUCUUGAGCUUAGUUGAGCUCGAAUGCACCAGAUCACUCUUUAGUGAAAUGGUGCAUUUUGGUAUUUUAGUGUGGGCUGGGUCAGCUUGUUUUAUACAGGUCCGAUAACAAUUAAUAUUGUAUUAUUUAUAUAAAAAAUUGAGAGAGUUACA